GUUUGAACCUGGCUCAGGACGAACGCUGGCGGCGUGCUUAACACAUGCAAGUCGAGCGGAAAGGCCACUUCGGUGGUACUCGAGCGGCGAACGGGUGAGUAACACGUGAGUAAUCUGCCCUCCACUUUGGGAUAGCCACCGGAAACGGUGAUUAAUACCGGAUAUGACCUGGUGCCGCAUGGUGCUUGGUGGAAAGUUUUUCGGUGGGGGAUGUGCUCGCGGCCUAUCAGCUUGAUGGUGGGGUAAUGGCCUACCAUGGCUUCGACGGGUAGCCGGCCUGAGAGGGUGACCGGCCACACUGGGACUGAGACACGGCCCAGACUCCUACGGGAGGCAGCAGUGGGGAAUAUUGGACAAUGGGCGGAAGCCUGAUCCAGCAACGCCGCGUGAGGGAUGACGGCCUUCGGGUUGUAA
rnacentral:rRNA from 1 species